GGCUGCCCACUUCCAAGCCGCUUCACGCGAAGCCUCCUGGGAACUGUAGUUUUGCCCAAACAGGCUGGGAGCCGAAACGAGCCAGGCGCGCGGGGGCUGCCGGGAGCCGUAGGCGCACCACCGCACUACCCUCUGGAAAUGGUAGUUCACUGGUUGCCUCCGUAUAGCUCCAGUCUCUAGAGCACUUCCGCAGCCCCCAGGGACGUGAGAGGAGGCGUGUUUUGUGCAGAUUCUAACCUGCAAGCCGCGCUCCUCCACCUACCUGGGCGGUUUCUCCUUUCUCCGGGUCCUGUGUGCCUCCUCCCUUCACUCGGCGGGCCGUCUCCUCUUUCCCGCGCGGCGCGAGUCACUUACCCCGGGGGCGCGAAGCUCGAGAGAGGGAGAAGCGAAGCUUCGCGCUCGACCUCACCCCCCACGAAGGGGGCAGUGGAGAAGGGCGUUGAUGCGCGCUCGCGCUCGCGCGCACGUCGCCAGGAAUGGGGGCCAAUUUGUUGCGGGCCCCCACGGGACCUUUUUUUUUUUACCUUUGGAACGCGUGCAUGGACUUGAGCGGUUUAUCGCGGCUGGCGCGCCAGUACGCACGCGCGCCCACUCCUGUCCUCACAGUUAGUCUGCUGAGUGCUCCGUUGCGCAGCUCCCCGCUGUGUCUGCCGUCUCCUUGCUCAGCAUCGGCGAGAUAGCUCUCCGAAGCGCUCUCUAGGUCUGUUCGCCUACCUAGGCGUUCCUGGGUGUCACCAAACACGCCGUGCCGCCCCUUGUCCGGAGCCCCGUUGCAGGUGUUUAAGCAACGGUCCUGAGGAGAACCCGAGGAAAAUCAAGGUGAUGUCUUCCACCAGACUCGUUCCCACCUGGAAGGAUUUUAACAAUCUCAUAAAUGACAUCAUACAUGAAAACAAGGAAUCUUCAGAUGACUCAAAGAAUGAUACUGUUGUGCUGAGUGACAGGUCCAAGAUACUGUUCAAAGAAUCUCACUAUCCUCAAAAUAUGCCACUCAUCUGCCAUUACUUCUGUGAUGCCUACUUCUUCGCCUCCCUCUCCUGGGUGACGCCCCACUCAAAAGAAAUACAAGUAAGACUUUCUUUCCCUUCCUAGCCCACUUUCCACGGACCAAACCCACACAGCUCUCAAACCAAACUGACAAAGGAAUACGCACCCCAUGAAUGAAUGUGACCUGGAUCCAGGAAGCCUCCCACCAUACUUUCCCUGGUUACUGUUUCCAUAUUGAGCACGCUU
rnacentral:lncRNA from 1 species